AGAUUUUAAGUUAAUAAAACUAUUAGCCUUCAAAGUUAAAAAUAAAUAAUUUUUUUUUUAAAUCUUA
rnacentral:tRNA from 1 species